UACGUAGGGUGCGAGCGUUGCCCGGAUUUAUUGGGCGUAAAGGGCGCGCAGGCGGCUCGGCACGUCCGUUGUGAAAUCGCCCGGCUCAACUGGGCGGGGUCAGCGGAUACGGUCGAGCUUGAGCAAGCUAGGGGGUAAUGGAAUUCCCGGUGUAGUGGUGGAAUGCGUAGAUAUCGGGAGGAACACCAGUGGCGAAGGCGGUUACCUGGAGCUUUGCUGACGCUGAGGCGCGAAAGCGUGGGGAGCGAUCCGG
rnacentral:rRNA from 1 species